GAUGAAGAACGUAGCGAAAUGCGAUAAGUAAUGCGAAUUGCAGAAUUCAGUGAAUCAUCGAAUCUUUGAACGCACAUUGCGCCCGCUAGUAUUCUGGCGGGCAUGCCUGUCUGAGCGUCAUUUCAACCCUCGCCCCCGGCUUUUGCUGGGAGCGGUGUUGGGGAUCGGCCGCCCGUCACUGGGAGGCCGGCCCCGAAAUAGAGUGGCGACCACGCCGUGUGCUCCUCUGCGUAGUAAUCUUACCCUCGCAGGCGGACAGCGACGCGGCCACGCCGUAAAACCCCCUACCACAUCAAGGUUGACCUCGGAUCAGGUAGGAAUACCCGCUGAACUUAAGCAUAUCAAUAAGCGGAGGA
rnacentral:misc_RNA from 1 species